rnacentral:rRNA from 1 species
GAUGAACGCUGGCGGCGUGCCUAAUACAUGCAAGUCGAGCGAACGGACGAGGAGCUUGCUCCUCUGACGUUAGCGGCGGACGGGUGAGUAACACGUGGAUAACCUACCUAUAAGACUGGGAUAACUUCGGGAAACCGGAGCUAAUACCGGAUAAUAUUUUGAACCGCAUGGUUCAAUAGUGAAAGACGGUUUUGCUGUCACUUAUAGAUGGAUCCGCGCUGCAUUAGCUAGUUGGUAAGGUAACGGCUUACCAAGGCAACGAUGCGUAGCCGACCUGAGAGGGUGAUCGGCCACACUGGAACUGAGACACGGUCCAGACUCCUACGGGAGGCAGCAGUAGGGAAUCUUCCGCAAUGGGCGAAAGCCUGACGGAGCAACGCCGCGUGAGUGAUGAAGGUCUUCGGAUCGUAAAACUCUGUUAUUAGGGAAGAACAUAUGUGUAAGUAACUGUGCACGUCUUGACGGUACCUAAUCAGAAAGCCACGGCUAACUACGUG